GAGAGAGACAUGCGCGCAUAUCAAUAAGCGGAGGAAAAGAAACUAACAAGGAUUCCCUUAGUAACGGCGAGUGAAGCGGGAAGAGCUCAAAUUUGAAAUCUUCAAGGUUUUACCUUGACGAAUUGUAGUUUAAAGAAGGUGUGUUUUCUGCUGAAGUUUUGGUAAAAGUUCUUUGGAAUAGGACAUCAUAGAGGGUGAGAAUCCCGUAUUUGACCAUUAUUUUCAGCUUUGUGAUACACUUUCAAAGAGUCGGAUUGUUUGGGAAUGCAGUCCAAAAUGGGUGGUAAAUUUCAUCUAAAGCUAAAUAUUGGCGAGAGACCGAUAGCGAACAAGUACCGUGAGGGAAAGAUGAAAAGAACUUUGAAAAGAGAGUUAAACAGUACGUGAAAUUGUCAAAAGGGAAGCGUUUGACACCAGUGUUGUUUUCUCGAAAAUCAAUUAAAAAUGGCUCGAUUUUGUAUUGCUGAGACCUUAAAAGCUCACUGUACAUUUUUCGUGUCUUUUUUAAUGCACUUUUCGUUUAACAAGUCAACAUCAGUUUCUUUUGUUGUAAAAGGGUCAUUGGAAGGUGGCUUUCUUUUCGGAGAAAGUGUUUAUAGCCUUUGCUCUCUGCAAUCGGAGAGACUGAGGUCUGCAGCGUAGACUCUUCGGGGUUAGAUACAUUUGUGCUAAGUUAUAGCUUUUUAUAGACAACUUGUUGACUAUAAUUAGUCUUGUAGCUUACUCGCUUAUGCUAUUUUACCUACGCUUAGGAUGUUGAAGUCAUCGUAUCGCGC
rnacentral:rRNA from 1 species